AAUCAACGCUGGCGGCGUGCCUCAGACAUGCAAGUCGAACGCGAAAGGCCCCUUCGGGGGCCCGGUAGAGUGGCGCACGGGUGAGUAACACGUAGGUAAUUUGCCUUCGGGUGGGGAAUAACAGCCGGAAACGGCUGCUAAUACCGCAUAAUGCAGCGGCUCGACAUCGAGACAGUUGUUAAAGCGGGGGAUCGCAAGACCUCGCGCCUGAAGAGAAGCCUGCGGCAGAUAGCUUGUUGGUGAGGUAAUGGCUCACCAAGGCGACGAUCUGUAACCGGCCUGAGAGGGCGGUCGGUCACACUGACACUGACAUACGGGUCAGACUCCUACGGGAGGCAGCAGUCGGGAAUUUUGGGCAAUGGGCGAAAG
rnacentral:rRNA from 1 species